CAGCAGCCGCGGUAAUACGAAGGGUGCAAGCGUUAAUCGGAAUUACUGGGCGUAAAGCGUGCGUAGGCGGUGAGUUAAGUCUGCUGUGAAAUCCCCGGGCUCAACCUGGGAGUGGCAGUGGAUACUGGCUCGCUAGAGUGUGUCAGAGGAUGGUGGAAUUCCAGGUGUAGCGGUGAAAUGCGUAGAGAUCGGAAGGAACAUCUGUGGCGAAGGCGACUAUCUGGGCCAACACUGACACUGAGGCACGAAAGCGUGGGGAGCAAACAGGAUUAGAUACCCCAGUAGUCCCUGUCUCUUAUAC
rnacentral:rRNA from 1 species